GGCUGGAAGUGUGUAAUCUUCGGAAAGCUGUGACUGCGACCUGGAGUUGGACAUGUGUUCUGGUGAAUGGAGUGAGAUGAGGACUGGGUUUGAGAAGAUUUUGUUGGCUCCACAUGGUUUUGCAAAUCAACCUGCUGCUCCAGUGAUGACAUGCUGCUGAGGGAAGGUUUGGUGGUUCCUGGGAAGUUGAAAGGAUCUGGGCAAGCUUUUCAGGGAGAGGAACUACCUGGGCUUGAGGGUUUGUUUCAGCAAAAAUCUAGAAUAGGCCACAUCAUUUUGCACUUAACCAUGAUGAGGACUUUUAUUGCAUGUAUGAAUGUCCCCAGAGGCUAUUACUCAAAAGGGCUCAGCUAAUAAAUAGGAGAACUAAUAAUUAUCUUUUUUCAGAUUGCUGACUGUGUGCAACUGCCGCAAGGGGUCAAAAGUGCUUGGUUUGCACAACAUCUCCCCGGCAUUCUUACACGUGUGGUUAUGGAAUCAGGGUGCAGGGAAGGGUCAUGGAGCAGAGGGAAUUGCAUGUGCUCGAUCUUUUUCACAUUGGAGCUGCUUUCUGAAACCCGGCACGGGGAAGGGUGCUCAUCCAGGCCUUAAAAGUUGGCAGCAUCCCCCAGGAACUACCCUGUGAACAAAUCCAGGCUUUCGGAAGCACGUGAUUCUGCAGAAAUGCCACAUUCUCUUCCACAUGGGCGUGUGUCGUGUACAUGCAACCUAAGGAGGUAACCUUUUACCCAGCCUGAGACUUCAGAGGGUAUUCAUAUUGGGGACCAGCAGCCCGUGAUGUUUGUCCCCCAGAGAGGGGGAGAGAGCUGCUGCCUGCAGAGUGGCUGCUCCUGCUUUGCACGGCCCCUGGCUUCUGCAUCCCUCCAUCCUCCAGCUGGGCACAGAGGUUGCCAAAAGGGCCAGUAGGAGGAGAAGGCUUCAUGGAGGACGGGGGCAAGAGCGGGCCGACCAUGCUGGCUUCCUCGCCUUGUGUCUGGCUGACUGCACAGGCCUGAGGAGGUAACCAACAGCAGAAACAGCUCUGGACAAAUGAGCAAAGGAAGACUCGACUGAGUUUCCCCAGAAUGGAGAGGAGCUGAGGAAGCUCCAGGGCCCACAGCGGAAGCUGGUGGACCAUUUCACUAGGACCCUGGGAGCAAAUCAGUCUGACUUGUGUUUGGCCCCUGAAUCCCCCUGCUCAAGGCUCAGAGUCCUGGAGAAUUGAGGGCAACCCCCACAUUGCAUGCCAUGGAUGGUGGCUUCCCCAGGGGAGUCGGGGUGCUAGGACUAGAGCAUGCCUCCUACAAAUGUUGACUUCCCCAGAAAAAUACCAGCUCUCUUAAGUAAGGGUGGGUCUAUCUGUGGGGAUGAUAGGGUCACCCUUAUUAUUCAUACGUUCCCUGGGCCUGAGAACUUACCUGGAAUACACUUUGUUAAAUAGUAAUAUUUAUUCUUAUUUGAGUUAUUUUUUUGGCUGUGUGUAAGUUGGCAAAUGACAGGAAGAGCAUGUGCUUCUAAUCACCCACCCAUCUUAAUAACGUCGAACAGAUACAGUGCAGAAACUAUUGCACAACCACCAGCAUUUCAUUACAUCAGAAUCCUUGCCAAUUUGAAAGAGGUCCUUGAAUCCAGGGAGAGUUACAUCUUUACGUUUUUGAUCACGAUCCUCUUGGAAGAUACUUAUUAGGGCCAUUUGUUGAUGACAAUAUUAAGAAUUAGCAAAUAUCUUCUUAAAUAUAACAAAAAUUGAAUUGUUUCAUUAGAGAACUAUAAAGUCUGUUAUUUAAGAGGAAACUGUUGUGCUGUUCAAAAGCAGGAAAGAAUUGUUGAAGGACUCUUCCUGGUCUCCUUUCUAGAACUGAGGCAACUCAGCUAUUGUAGUCAAAAGAAUUUUUAAAAAAUUAGUAAAGAGAAAAGCAGAAUCUUCGUAC
rnacentral:lncRNA from 1 species